CCCUAGCCCCGAUUGCAGUGGAAAUCCCGCAGCGCAGCGGAGGAAUUGCAACGGAAAGCGGGAACAUGG
rfam:Flavobacterium enshiense DK69 contig16, whole genome shotgun sequence.